CCUCCUACGCGCAAGUCCUCGGCGCCCCUUACCCUGCCAACGUCGUCUCGCAAGGGCGCCCCUUCCCCUGCUCCCGUCGUCUCCGCGCCAUCCUUGGAUCCGUGGUUCACGGCGCCAUCCUUGGAUCCGGGGUCCGCGCAAGGGCCCGUCGUCUCCGCGCCAUCCUUGGAUUCGGGGAUCCGGGGUCGCAAGACGGAGGCUAUUCCGGAGGCGUCUCGCAUGCGCUCCGCACGGGCCUCCUCGUCGCCGGUGCCACGCUCCUCCUCAUCGCCGCGGCCAUCGCCUUCUUCGUGGCCCGCGACAUCAGGAAACGGCGCCGCGUCGCGGCGCGGGGCGACUGGAAGAUGACGCCUUUCGUCGUGGAUCUUGGUUUCGGGGAGGAGUCCAUACUCCGGGGCCUGACGGAGGCCAACAUCGCCGGCCGCGGCGGGUCCGGCCGCGUGUACCGCGUCACCUUCACCAACCGGCUCAACGGGGCCGCAGGCGCGGUGGCCGUGAAGCAGAUACGGACCGCCAGGAAACUGGACGGGAAGCUGGAGCGCGAGUUCGAGUCGGAGGCUGGCAUCCUCGGCAACGUCCGGCACAAUAACAUCGUCAGGCUGCUGUGCUGCCUCUCCGGCGCCGAGGCCAAGCUUCUCGUGUACGACUACAUGGACAACGGGAGCCUGGACAAUUGGCUCCACGGCGACGCUCUCGCCGCCGGCGGGCACCCAAUGGCGAUGAGGGUGCGGUCCGCACGCCGCGCGCGGCUAGCUGGCCGACCAGGCUCAAGGUGGCCAUCGGCGCCGCGCAGGGGCUGUGUUACAUGCACCACGAAUGCGUGCCGCCCAUCGUUCACCGCGACGUCAAGACGAGCAACAUCCUGCUGGACUCGGAGUUCCGGGCCAAGGUCGUCGACUUUGGCCUUGCCAGGAUGCUGGCGCAGGCUGGGGCGCCAGAGACCAUGUCCGCCUUGGCCGGCUCGUUCGGCUACACGGCUCCCGUUGAUUUCAUCCCUGCUCACUUUCUUUCUGUUCGAUUUUGGCCCCUGCAGAUUGCAAGAACGGGACUGCUAAGCAAGCUAAGAUUUCAUUUUUUUUCUGGAUCAAUCUCAAAUUAGGAUCGCGGGCGGUUCAUAUCGUGGGUGGUUCCAGACGUGGGCACCGGGCGUGAGAUUUUUAAUGCCUACUGCUCGCUCCACAUGAUCAUUUAUCACUGGCUCCAGCAUGUCAUGCUGCUCAUGCUGCUGCAAGCAUCCGUCCUCUUCCGCUUGUGCCCAAGGACGGUUACACCAUUUGUUGCUAGGAACUGGAGCUACCAAAUGGCUUAUCCUCGUUUCUAUUUCCCAAAGAAUCUGGAAUUUGUCACUAUGCGAGUGUUUCAGGAUCAGGCCUUGCCUGCAGCACGUAAAUGAAAAGCACCAGUACACAAGUGACUUACAAUAUUGAAACGCUCAAUCAGCAUCACGAGGAGUACGACCAAACUGCUCGUGGUAUCCUAGUUGGCAGUUUUUCUGAAGCUGUAGGGAUUGAACAGUCAGGUCUGACCCCUGCUGCAGAAGCAUCUAUGUUGCCAGUGCCAGAUGGGCAGCCUAACAACAAGCUGGAGGGCAACGAAGUGGAUGAGCACAACUGUAGCUAUGAUGCCAAGUUCCUGAACAGAGAAGCGUCAAACCUUCACAAAGAUGUUUGCGUGGAUCCGUGCAGUGAAGAUAGUCAUCGGAGUCAUCUACCUCCUCUGAUAUCUCCUCAACGAUCUGCAUAUUUUCACAACGAAAAUGAUUCGGGUUCAAUAGGAAUCUGUCAAAGCAGCAGGCGAGGAUGUGUAGACGAACUCUGCGCUAAGCGGCAGAGUUUCAAAGUUUCAAAGCAGCAGGCAAGUUCUAUAUUGGGCCUUCCAAUCGAUCAACAUAUAAGUUGCAGGUUUUAAUUCUGCCUUUUCCCUAAAUUUUGCUUAAGAUAAAAGAAUACCGAUGACAUGACUUAGAUAAAAGGUAUGGUUUCCCUGCCUGCUGCUCUAUCUCUCUCUUUUAUCAGUUCUCUUCUCAUGAUGACUGUUGCUUGUUACUAUGGUGCUUUGGCGAGAGCUUGGCUGUCGGGCUAGGAUUAAGUGUUGCGUUGAGGGGCAUACACUGUUCACAAAGUAGUGGUCUGCUCGAUCCCCUGUAGAACAGAUUCAUUGUUCGCAAGUAGCAUUAUGCUCGAUCUCUUGUAGUAUGAUUCAUAGGUCCUAAAAAAUUUCAUUUUGUUAAAUUUAGUGUAGGGUGGAUUGGGUGUGUGGAGAACUGCUCUCCAUGCUUUACCUGUGUUAUUACAAAACUCUUUAGUGUAGCAUUACAAAAAAGUAGAGAACUGCUCUCCAUGCUUUACCUGUGUUAUUACAAAACUCUUAUAUAGAGGCCUGAAAUACAAUGAACUUAAUCCCCUUUUGUUUGAUAAAUUUAGUGUAGGGUGGAUUGGGUGUGUGGUUCAGUGUUUGGUGAUGGAAUUGCUAUUCUUUUUUAUCAAAUGCAGGUUAGGCUGUCUUGGAUCAUCAGACAGAUCAGCAUGACCUGCAAGCAGCAAGCUACUGUUUACAGUUUACAGAUGUCCUCUACUUGCCAAAAAAUAACAAAGGGCUUCUCGUUCUUGAAAGUUGGGUGUGAUGGAAUUUCUGGACCAAUAAUAUCUUUUCUCUAACAGUGAUAGCUUUUUUACCUUGUAGAUUCAAGUCUCAUUUUGAAGAGG